GGAAAACCGGUUCUGCCGUGAGGGGAGAUCGCGCGACCCCGAGGGCGGAACACCGAUCCUGCCAUGAGUGGAGAGCGACCGAGGGCGGGGAAACCCAUCCUGCCGUGAGAGGAGAGCGGCCGAGCCUGAGGAUUAGAAACACGUUCAGAGAGCCGUGGUCAAACAACGCCAUCUCCUCCUCCAGGACUGGUGCUGCCACAUACUCACGUGGAGUCCCCAGCAUCCACGGCACAGCAACUCUUCUGGCAGAAUUCUACAUUAGAAACAGCAUUUAUCCAACUUUAGAAGAUGAAUUCUGAUUCUUACCAUCAGAUGAAGGUAAGUUACCAGCAACUGCACAAUAAAAAUCAAAAUAAUUUGCUCCCUCCAUUAAGCAACUUCCAUCCACAUGCACCUUGUGUUCUCCAGUAAUGCAGCAUAACCCAAGUUGUUCACAAGUUUGGAUCUUAAAACUAGAGGGAGGUUCAAAAUGAAGUCCUAGAAAAUAACAAAACUACUCUUCUCAGAUGCAGGAGUUAAAUAGAGAAACAAUCAUCAAUUCAGCACAGAACACAAAUAUUGACAUAAGCACAAAAAGCUUCCAGUUGACAGGGAAUAGGAACAUAUUGGACAAAACUUAAUUUGCUUUCCCUAUAUGGCACAUUAAAUGAAACUUUUGCCUUUCACAGAAGUCAUACAUUUUCCUAAUAUGCAAUCAGCACCAUUUUGUUUUGAAGGAGGAGGAUUCUACAGAAAGAAGAACAGAACACAGAAAAUUGUUGGUCAUUUGCUGCCAUCUGGCAGCAGUAAAGAGCAAGAACAGUGAAAAAAUUGAUUCAUGCCAUCAGUUUAUUGCACUAGAAAGCCACACAAGCCUUGAAAGCAGAGUUUAUCCUGGUGCUGAUGACACUUUGCUGCCUACAGAUUCCAGCACUGGCAACAACAACAUUUUUUAUCAUUACAGUCUUUAACAUUUCAUUUGUCAUAACAUCUUGGCCAUCUUUCCUUGGACAAGUCCAACUUUCUCCUUAUUUCAUGACAAGUAACAGAAAGCUCCAGAAGACAACACUGUGAAACAUUUAAUAUUUUGUUACCUAAGCAGUCAAUAUUAGAAACCAAAGGUUGCUCCAGCACACUAAUUAGCAAGAGAGCUUUGGCACACACUACCAAUAAAUGCAGGCAGCCUGCAUGGAGUUCUGAAUUUCCCUCCCACUUCCAGCUCUUUAUUCCUGGGUGGGGACAUCGGCCUAAGGAGAACCAGUUGGCUAUAGCCAGUUGUAAAAACAACAAUGACACAUUUCACCAGCAGCCCUUUGCCCCUCCUCUAGGCAUAAAGCUUUAAAAACUCCAAGCACAGCAAAACUUCCCAUCAACACUGGUUUUUUGCCAUAGCAUGAAAAAAGAUAUAGCAAAAAUCAUCAUGACUAGGAAACAUCAAAACCCAGCAAUAGUGCCCUUGCAGCUGAACACCAGGGAACAGCAAAAACACUGCAAGGAGCAACCUUGGCACAUCAGUGACAACAAUCCCACAGUACCUGGGCAGGCAGAGCCAGGGCUGCCAGCAGAGUCCCUCCAGGAGCAGGAAGCUGGGCUGGAACCACAGCUACAACACAGGUAAAACUAGAGCUGGACACACCCAUAAACAAAAGGCAAGAGCUGUGCUCAGCCCUCAGCUUAAGUAGAGCUGCUGCACCAAAGAGCAGAGGGAGCUGGGUGGGUCCCAGGUGAGGCUGGUUGGGAGGGUCAGACCUAUUGACCCUUGACUCUGGCCACUAGCAAUAAAAAGCAAUUAUUUGAUUAAAGCAUCUCAGCUGCUGAGCUUUUGGGUUGGUCAUCUGAAAGUUGUAUCAUUUGAAAGUUGCAGCUUCCUUAGUUAUGCUGUUUGUGUAUCUCUGGUACAGAAUAGCUGGAAAAGCAGUUUUCUGGUUCUUUCAUUACUCACUGCUCCUGCUAGCUCUGUGUGUGGCUGUCCCCUCACAGCACUGCACACACUUGAUGUUUGCCUCUCCCAAAGUGACUGCUUUUAGCAUUCAUGUGGAUAUCUGUCUUGCUUUGAAAAUAUCCCAUCAGGCACACAACUUCCCACCUUGCUUUCUUGAUUCAUCCUUUACCUUGUAACUGCACUGCUGUUUUUCUGCACCAUUUUUAGGUAACCUGGCUCCUCCUCAAACCUGCUGUGAUUGCAUUUCUCUCUUCUGCUACUUCUUGUCAUAAAAGUUUAGUUUCUUGAUGUAUCUGUAGCUGUGCAGCUCUGUUUAUCUGAACCGAACUCUGGACCUGAUUCACUUGCAAACUGUCCCCAGAUGAUUUUGAUGAGUGUUUCCCAAAAGACACCAAAGCCUCCAGAUAAAUAAAUUAUAAGGAUGCUGCUUCUGUUGCCAGGUUAUUGCUGUUACCUAAGAGCAUGGAAUAUCAGGGAAGAAGGUUGGAAGCCAUGUAAACUUACUUUGACCUUUCUAGGAUUUUUCCCUUAUUUUCUAUAAAUGGUAAUGCACAUCAGAUUUUAUUUUUCUAUCCUUUAAGAUAAUGCACUGCUGUUCCUUUAUGUUU